AUACCACCAAAAGCACCAGUCCCAAGCGGACGGCCCUUCGUGCAGACAAUAGACUCUCCGCACAAGGUGCGAGACGGUGAGACAGAAUACUCCAAAUUGAUAUGCCAUUUGUGCUGCACCCUUGGGGCAGAUGUGAAUACUAAAGAAUUGCUAAUGUCUUCUCAAUCUGUGACGAGAAAUACGAGGAAAAAUUUUACAGCGCCUUAAUAUCUCCAGCUUCAGGAAAGGAUGACACAUGAAAAGGCUGGAGAAAUUGACACUGGCGAUUAUCGUUUAAAACUAUUUUACGGUUCUCUAAAAUUGUUUUCCUGUGAACUGAGUGGGUUCAUAUUUCUUGGAAUCCUGUGCUUGUGUGCUGUUUUAUACUUUCCUAGGUUUUCAGUGAUUAUUUAACGAAUUUCUGUUGCCAGUGUAGCGGCUGCGAGCAGUCAUAUUGGUGCGUAUGUAAUGAAGCCUUUGUUAUUCUGUUCGAAACCCGUAUACCUCGCUACGAAUUGCAAACGUGAUCACGUCAGCCACUUCCUGACUGUUGAUGCAAGGCGCCAUUUAUAUUACUGUCAUUCAGACUUGUAGGGAUGAUUACGAGGCAAUUUGAAACUCCUUAGGCCUGUCGGAUAGACCGCCCCUGUGGUCUAGUGGCCAGAGUUCCUGGCUACAGAUCCAGAGGUCCGGGUUCGAUUCCCGGCGCUACCAG